UACGUAGGGGGCAAGCGUUGUCCGGAAUCAUUGGGCGUAAAGCGCGCGUAGGCGGCCCGGUAAGUCCGCUGUAAAAGUCCAGGGCUCAACCCUGGAAAGCCGGUGGAUACUGUCGGGCUAGAGUCCGGAAGAGGCGAGUGGAAUUCCUGGUGUGGCGGUGGAAUGCGCAGAUAUCAGGAGGAACACCAAUAGCGAAGGCAGCUCGCUGGGACGGUACUGACGCUAAGGCGCGAAAGCGUGGGGAGCGAACAGG
rnacentral:rRNA from 1 species